CUGCGCACCCCUUCUGCGCAUGCGACCGUCUGCUCCGCGAGUGUCGCAAUCUGGCGGACGGGUUUGUGACUACGUGUGCAUCUCAGUUGCCGCUGCGCCGCCGCCGGGCGGCCGGGUUAGUUUUGAUAAACUUUUCGUGUUUGAAAACUUCACGUAAAACUUCACUUCAGGAAGUUUUCUCGUAGGAGUUUUUGGGACAAGGAAUUUGUUUAUAAGGGGCUCGAAAUGUAACCUCGGGGCCGUAAUCCCGAGACAGACUGCCCUGCUGCCCGGCCGCGUGGUAAACGAUGAUUUCUGCGCACAACAGCUUGCUGGUACUGAAAGGUAGACUGUAACUGGGUCUUCUUUCUUCCUCGCCCGCCUGCAGCGCCGCAUGUGGAAGGGAUGAUAAUACCCUUGGCAUCCGAGCUAACAGGACUCCUGGAAGAUCUCUCGCCAACAGCUGGAGCUGGAAGGCGGCCAGACAGCGAGGCAGUGGCUUCGCGCAGAGCAGCUGCUCGGGCGAAGGGAAGCUCGGCGCAGGCGCAGGCCCGAGCAGCCCUCAGCGUCUCAGCGCGCCUCUGGGACGGCAGAAGAGGCGGGUGCGCGCCGACAAGUUACUGCUCAACGACAAGCUCAGCGUCGGCAAACAUUUGCAAGGAACAAGUGGGGUGUUUCUCAAACAUGUGCUUCUGACUAUGAUCAAACUUUAGACUGUAGUCACCACAGACUCAACAAAAUUUACAGAAUGAAUAAUGCAUGCAGAUUUAGUGGGGCACCAAAAUGAAAGGAAGAACCGACGGGAAUGUGUUGCUUUGGGGACAAAGUAGCGUUUCCCAAGUUGGAAGAGCCUGUUGAUUCUUUAAAAGAACUAUAUUCUGAUGAACUGUAGAAUUCUUUUAAUCACGUGUUAAGGGCGCACUGUCUCAUACAGUAACAGUAUCGCUGGAAUAUGUGUGAGAAAUAUCUUCCAAUAAAGCUGUUUUGAUAAUUGAA